UCAUUUUUUCGUUUUCUUCUUUCAAUUGUUUCGUUUUUCAGAUCGAUUUUUAUGAAUUCGCUUGCUGAACAUCGAAUUUCACAUAUAUAUUUUUUUUUUAUUUCGGAGGAAUAGAAGAGGCUUUUCAACACAGCACAGGAUCGUGGCUUGUUAAGUAAAAUAUGGCAAAUCGACAAACAAUAAAUUAUUUACGCAACAAUUUCCGAAUCGCUUUGGCUUUGUUUAGCGCUAUUUAUAGCGCACAAAUGUUUUGUAACAAUUGGGAUAUCUCUCGCCGACUCUCCGGUGGUGUUUGAAAGAGGCAUGGUUGCCAAUGAAUACGACACACAGCAUACAUCGAUAAAACAGAGUACUUUUCACCACCGGUAAAUUGUCUAACAGCGUUGUGUUUUUUUUUUGCCUUACACUACACCUUGAUUUGAACUGCAACAGCGUACAAUGGGCAACAACGAGCAGAGAAAGCGUGCUUGAGUGCAUUGUACAAUAAAUCAUAAUUCUUUGUCGCAAAAUGUACAAAACACCAACAGGACGACGAAGAAGAAUCGGAGAAAAAAACACGAAGAAAAUAGAAAAGAAAGAAGUGCAAAAAUAUAAAUAGCACACCUUUAUCCAUACAGUUGCAUUCAUUUCGGUCCUCUAACGGAAAAUCUGGAUUCUAAAUAUAUUUUUGUUUUAAAUCGUCCAAAACGGAUUUCAUGAAAUUCAUUGAAACGCAUCCGCAAUGUGUACACAUUGCGAUGUACAUAUGUAAAAGAUAUAACAUAAAUCUUGAGGGAAAAGCUGCUUAAAACCAAAUUAAAUGUAAUACUGAAGCGACGAAUGAACGUUCGUCGUACGGUUCAAAUUUAGAAUUUCAAAUACAUAAGAAGUCAAUUUAGUGAAUGAUGAUUUUUGAAACAUCCUUCGGAAAUAUUGUUAUUUCUAAAUGGGAAAAAAUCAUCGGAAAAAGAGAAAUGAAGAGAAUGCGUUUUAAUCAUCACAAAACAAAUUUCGGAAGUGCAUGAAAAAAUGAUGGCGGAAAAAUGCAGCAAACAGAUGUUAUAUAGACUUUAGAAACCUUUCUGAGAUAUUUCAUCGAGAAAUACAAUUUAAUCAUGCUUAAUUGGAAAUGUAGAUCAUGCCAAUAUAUUAAGAAAACAAUAGUUGUAAGGCUUUUAGCGAUUGUUCAUUUAAUUUGUUGGAACAACGAAAUUAUUGUUGAAAAGUGCAUAAUUAAGACUCAACAACAACUACAAAAUUUAUUUUUGGAUUAGGGCUCGUAUAUUAGGCAUUUUAAGAAGAAAAAAAAACAA